rnacentral:rRNA from 1 species
UACGAAGGGAGCUAGCGUUGUUCGGAAUCACUGGGCGUAAAGCGUCCGCAGGUGGGUGUGUGUGUCGGAUGUGAAAGCCCAGGGCUCAACCCUGGAACUGCAUUCGAAACUGCACAUCUUGAGUACGGGAGGGGGAAGCAGAAUUCCUGGUGUAGAGGUGAAAUUCGUAGAUAUCAGGAGGAAUACCUGUGGCGAAAGCGGCUUCCUGGUCCGAUACUGACACUCAUGGACGAAAGCGUGGGGAGCAAACAGG